rnacentral:rRNA from 1 species
AAUCUACCUUUUACAGCGGGAUAGCCCAGAGAAAUUUGGAUUAAUACCGCAUAGUAUAUCGAGUUGGCAUCAACCUGAUAUUAAAGUCACAACGGUAAAAGAUGAGCAUGCGUCCCAUUAGCUAGUUGGUAAGGUAACGGCUUACCAAGGCAACGAUGGGUAGGGGUCCUGAGAGGGAGAUCCCCCACACUGGUACUGAGAUACGGACCAGACUCCUACGGGAGGCAGCAGUGAGGAAUAUUGGACAAUGGGCGCAAGCCUGAUCCAGCCAUGCCGCGUGCAG